GAUAAGCUUUUGGGUAAUUUUUUUUUAAUUGGGUUGCCAGCUGCAUCUACCCACUUUUCUUUACUAUAGUAUCCUUUGGGAAGAUGCCAAGGCUCUGCGGUAGAUUCUGUGGUUUGCAUGGAGAAGGUUCCUGUUUCAAACCUUGGUGUCUCCACUUCUAAAGAACCUUAAUUAGAAGGUGCUGAGAAAGACCUUUUCCUUUCCCCAAGACCCAGGAGAGUUGCCCCAGUCUAAAGCAACUUCCUGUUCAUGGGAACUUAAUACAAAACCCGUAAUUCUUCUGAUGUGUAAUUUGAUGCUUGGAUACCAAACUCUCCCAUCACUGGCAGCAGUAUGAAAAAGGUGCUGCCUGCAUGCAUGUGCAUGGAUCAGACCUUGGUGUGCUGGAGCAUUAUGGAAGUUGGGACUGCAGUAGAUUUAUGAUGAGAAGGAAGUAAACAUUUAUU